GACAGAGGGUGCGAACGUUGUUCGGAAUUACUGGGCGUAAAGCGCGUGUAGGUGGCAUUGCAAGUCGGAUGUGAAAGCCCGGGGCUCAACCCCGGAAGUGCAUUCGAUACUGCAAAGCUAGAGUCUCGGAGAGGAUGGUGGAACUCUCGGUGUAGAGGUGAAAUUCGUAGAUAUCGAGAAGAACACCGGCGGCGAAGGCGGCCAUCUGGACGAUGACUGACACUGAGACGCGAAAGCGUGGGGAG
rnacentral:rRNA from 1 species